GUCACAGUGUCCUAAGCAGUUUGUUUUUCAUAAAUGUGCCUCCUUGCACUGACUCCUCUGAGCUACUAUCUUGAAGAUUUAAGAUGAGUCCCAGGAUUAGAGAUGGAAUACAGUCCAGAAUGAUGGAAUCAUGGUGAGAACGGAAGAGAUUGUAUGGUGAAGGAAGAAGCUGAAAUGAAAGAGAUUUAGAUUCUAAUGAACCUGAUGUAGUGGCUCUCCACAUCUGUGUAACUGCACUCAUGAUCACUGCAAAUGGGAAAAACAGACAAUCACGAAUGAGCAUGGCGUACUGCUUCAAAAUCCGAGGCAAUGAAGAGGUUCAGG